CAUAACUAUUCUUGCUCUAACUGUCUAAGUUUAAUAAGGACUUAACAGUAACACAUUAGUGGCAGAUUCCUCAUUAUCUCAUACUUCUUUUUAGGCCUGACCAACCCCGAAUAACCAAAGAUGUAAUUUGUUUUCAUGCUGAAGAUUUCUUAGAAGUAGUUCAACGAAUGCAGUUAGAUUUACAUGAACCUCCACUGUCCCAGUGUGUCCAAUGGGUGGAUGAUGCAAAACUUAAUCAGCUGAGGAGGGAAGGCAUUCGCUAUGCCAGGAUUCAGCUGUAUGAUAAUGACAUUUAUUUUAUUCCAAGGAAUGUUGUUCAUCAGUUCAAGACAGUUUCAGCUGUAUGCAGUUUAGCAUGGCAUGUUCGGCUGAAGUUAUAUCACUCAGAGGAGGACACUGCUCAGAAUAUAGCUGCUCAUGAAACAGGCACAUCACCAGAUUCCACGUCAUCUGUUCUUGGACCUCACACUGGCAAUAUGGUUUGUGCUGUAAGCAAAACCUCCUUGGAUUCCAUUUUUUCAGACAAACUUCAUUCUAAAUAUGAAUUACAGCAGAUUAAACAUGAGCCUGUUCCAUCUGUAAGAAUCAAGGAAGAACCUGUGAAUGUUUAUAUUCCUGAAAAGACUAGAGCACCGAAUAUGGAUGGCCAGAAUGUUAAAGCAAAAUUGGAUCAUGUUCAAUUUAAAGAAUUUAAGAUUGACCUGGACUCUAAAUUUGAAAAUAGCAACAAAGAUUUAAAGGAAGAAUUGUGUUCUGGCAGUCUCAUAAGUCUAGUUGAUACAAGGCAACAUAGUUCAGCGCAUUCAAAUCAAGAUAGAAAAGAUGAUGACAUUUUGUGCUAAAUUUGUACAUACCAUCUAAAAUUCUUUUUUUAAAACCUAAUAAUGUAAUAAAGGUUCAUAAUUCUGAAAGCAAGCCAAGGACUUGCUCCCAAGUCUGUUACAAAAUAUAGUUUAUGUAGCUUUGUAACAUUCCUCAGUGCCUGUCCAUAACUGUGAAGUAUCGAAACACUUAGGGCCAGAUGCACUGUAAACAUUGCAGGUGUAAGCAAAAGGAGUCUAAAAAUCAUUUGAGUUAGAGUUGUAGGUUUUAGAAUAUAGCUGACAUAUAUAUAUAUAUUUUUUGUAAUAUGAGCCAGAAUUCUUUUUUUGACAAGUUAAGGCUUUUCCAUAGAGCUUAUUUAUACCAGUUUUUUUUUUCAUUUUAAAUGUGUCAGCACUGUAGUGUAAAUAGCUUUUAAAAAUCUUUUUAGUGUGAUUUAUACUGAAGUGUGAGCCACUUAAUAAAGGUUCAUAAUAAUAAAUAUGUUUUCUGUUGGGUCUGCAAAAUGACAAACUGGCAAUUCAGUUAAAUCAUUCAGUUGAUCUAUUAUUUCUGCUUGUAUAUUCAUUUAGAAUGGUAAUGGAGUACAAAUGUAUGUAUUCAAAUCUAGUGAAUAUUUAAAUUCCCCACGCAGUGCAAGCAUUUUUAAAACCAAGAUUCGGUUAUGAAAGCAUAUUUAUAUAUGUAUGGGAGUGUGUGUGUGUGUGUGUGUAUGUAACUAUAUAUAUAAUAUUUUGCAUAACUUCUUAAAUUGCUGAAUUAGAUGAAUAUGUGACACUUCCUAGCCCCACUCCCUGGAAUACAUUUUAAAAUAUUUAUAUUCAAUAUUAAGAAGGCAGUUUAGGUAAUUGAAACUGUUUUAUGAAGUUGGGAGAAACAAGGUGUGUUAGUGGUAUCUAACCCUUCUAACUAAUGAAGUUAUGUUGCCAGAUUAUACAGCUCUCAUAAAUUUUCUUUAUAGUGUAUGGAAUGAUAAGAAGUUGAGAAGUUUUCUUACUAAUAAGCAUCUAAAUAGUAGCUGAGUAAAAAUCUUUAGUUAAAAAAAGUUUAAUUGUGAGCAGUUAAAUUCUUUUACAUUUUUCUUGCAGAACAGGAAGUAAAUAUAGCAAAAAGAAAAUCUUAAUAAGUGCAGUGACUCAACUACUAUACAGAGAUGUAACUUACAAAAUAAGAUAUGUUGUUAUCUCACCUUCCUAAGGAUCCCUUUUCCUGCCUCAGUAAGGUAAAAAAUUUAGAGUACUACUUUUUCAAAAGAAGCUCUAGAAAGUAAAAUUGGGGUAGGAAAUACAAUUGCCAUUACCUAGCUAGAUUGUUAAAAUAAAUCUGAUGGACUUCACUAUUUCAGAUUGGUUCCACUACUGUAAUUAAAAGUCAAAAGUGUCUUUAUGCUUUGAUGUAAGGAACUCCACUCAUUGCCAAUCUAUUUUAUUUUGUCUUUGGUAUUUUUCUGGACUCAUACUUUGGUUGAUGACUUUCAAUGGGGGUUUUUUGUGCUGCCGUUUGAGCUAGUGUUGCUGUUCCCAUUUCAGUGGUUUCUGCUCCAACCCUCAUUUGUUGUACCCAUAAAACUGCUUAUCUUAGAAAGUGGCAUUUCCCCAGAGAAAAAUAAACUGCAGCAAUGAUGUCAUUUCUGGCCUCCAGAUGAAAGGGUAGGCAAAUAUAGGAAAUCAUAUGGUUUGUAGGAAUCUAUAUAUUUGCCACACAGGAAUUUUCAUGGUAUAAGGAAGGUAUAAAUCAUGAUAAUGUAAAUAGGGGACUUUGCUUUUUAUGUGACUGUCUUAUCCUGUUCCUCACCACUUUAAUCCUUUCUUUGAAGCUAAAUGUCUGUAUCUGCACCUACCUUUUUAGGAGACAAAAAUUUCAUAAACCAGUAUUGAGAAAUAGGAGAGGAUGUGAUUAAAAUGCUUUUCUGUGUUUCUUUUUUUUAAUUGAAGGGUGAUAUAUUUAACAAAGUUUGUUUUAGUUCCAAUUUCCAGUUGCAUACACAUAGAUGCAAGAGAUCAUACUGUAAAAAAACAUGUUUAAGGUAUCCUCCCAAACUAUAUGAGCCUUAAGCUUUUAACUUAAAGACAUAUCUAAAACAACCGUAAGUGGUUGCUUUUAGUAUAGUUUCCUAUAUAACCUACAGACAAACUUUCCCAUAUCCUGAAAAAUUUGUUUUGUAAAAUGCAUAUAUCCCCGGAGGUGAAAUAUAUAAGUGAGCUCAGAUUUCAAGAUACAGCUUUGUCACCUUGAAUAAUGUUUAUGUUUCUUGUCCAUUGGGUUAUAAUUAUAAAAUCCUCUUCAGAUGCAGUCUGAAAACUUGUUGACUACCUUUGUCACACACACAUAAUUUCAGUUUCAAUAUUGCAUCAUUAUUAAGGGUUUCCUAGUUAAUACAUUCCUGUUCUUUAAGUAAACAGAAGGUUUUUUUUUUUGCUGUUAUUUCCAAUUUCUUGGACCAGAACAAUAAAGCACUUAAGAUAUAGUUUUUAUAUGAUCUCAUACUGUAUAGAAUAAAGUUAUUAUAUAAAUUAUUAAAUUGAUACACAGACCUUUACAAAAAAACUAUGGUACCUCAAUGGUGUCUGCUGCAGUUUUUUUUUUUUUAAUUCAUACCCUUUUAGCUAUCUAAGUAAUAUAUAUUUCAUACUCAGGUUAGCUGGUUAGCUGGCAAAAGAAUUAAGCAUUUGUGAUAUGUAGUUGAAAACUUUACUGAAGCCAUAUUCAUUAUAUUCCUUGUCCCUACGGCUAUUGACCUUAAGUAAAGAUUAGGUUAAUCUAGCACAAUACUGUGUGUGUUUGUGUGUGUGUGUGUAUGACGCAUGCAUGUGUAAGACUGUUGGAAAUAUUGUUUGUUCCCACAUACUCAUUUUUAACCCAUUCUGUAACUUUGGGGAUGGGGUCACAGAGGGGAGGAAACAUUUUAUUUCUUGGGUUAAGUUUUCAAGGUAUUUCAUUAGUGUUCACAAGCGUAAGUUUUUUCCCAAAUACAGCAGGUAAGAUAAUUUUUGUAAACAAUAGAUGUACAUUGCUUUGGUAAAUUUGAAUUCAGUUAAUUUUUUGACAAGCUCAUUGUCAUGUAAAGCAAGUAUCUCAAAAUUCAUUUUACUUUUAGCGAAGGUGCAAGAUUUGUCACUGAAGUUUGAGAGCAAUUUUUCUGAUCUUCCACAUUUUAAUAAAUACUAAAAUUGACACUGUAAUCCUUUUACCUUUGUUUUGUAAUUGUUUUCUUAUAUUUGUUAUUUUCAUCUUGUCAUCUUUAAAAGUUCUUGUUUCCCUGUUUUAACAGAAACCAUAUGAUCUUGACAACGAUUCCAAUCUGAAAAUCUUUUUCCCCCCUCUUAAAAGCUAGUAUCAAAAGUUGAUUUAUAUCAACAGAGAAAAAUAUUGGAAAUUGCCUUAAACAAGGUUGCUGAAUCAGUCAGGCAUGGGUGCUGGGAUGGCAUGUAAAUCCCCUCCCUUCCCUCUAGACAGGACUGUUUCUGUCCUAGGAGGGGAGGACAGAGUGCUACUGUUCUUCCAAAUACUCAAUCUGGUUAAAAGUGACAUGAUGGGUUUUAGAUCUUCAGAGUAGUGUAAUAGCUCUUACUUAAUUUUUCUUCCACCUGAUAUACAACUACUUUUGUAUGUAAACAAAAUUUUCCUGAUUUUAGAAUGUGUUGUCUAUUUUGUGGAAGAGUUAUGUUUGACAAGUUUGGCACUGAUCGUAUACCUCAGAUAAGAUACACACAGACACACACACACACAGACACACAGACACACACACACCCCUCCUCCCCCUCAGGAGAUACAUGAAUCCCUUGAUAUCUGUCCUGGCUUUUCUGUUCAGUUCUUCCUGUAACCCACUGCAUACUGCAGAUGGAAAUUAUCACUUUUUAGCAUGUCAAGCCCAAGGAGCCUAAAUGCAGAGCUACCUUUCCUUUUUUAAGUUUACAAACAUAUACCUUAUCUCUACUGGGAAAGCCGUAAAAGGAGAGGAAAAUAUCCUGCAUUUCAGGUCCUCCUUUCUAGGACUUCAGACCCAGUCAGGGAAUAUGAAUGAGCUGAGAACAAAAUAUGAGCAAUUUAUGUUUACUAGAAAUUUAAAGUGAAAUGUACUACUAGGCAUGUUUUAUUACUCUGCCUUCUAAGAACUGAACUAUUAAAAUGUGAAAACUCUGGAUCCUUCUAUACAUUUUGAACUUUAGAAUUUGCAUGUUUUAAAAAUGUUAAAUCUUUGUGCUUUCGUAUGAAGUUCAUUGCUAUUGUACUAUUAAAAAUUACGAAGUGUACAGACUCAGAAGCAAGUCAAUAUAGUUGCAGAUACUACAAUGUCUAAAAUUUUAUUUGGAUAGACAGUAUGAUGUCCUCCCCUCCAAGUUUCUUCUCUUGAAAUUUUGUUUUUGUUUUUAAUUGAGCCAGAUUUUUAUGUGAAAGAUCUUGUCUGCCUGCUUAAGAAAAAAAGCUCCUGUGUCUGAUUUUCGUUCAUGCUCUUGAUCCACCUCCACCUCCUUCUGACUGACACAAAGUUCUUGGAAAUCUCUGCCUUCACUUUCUCAUCUCAUUACAAUUUCAUUUUAAUCCUCAAAUUUAAUCACUGAGCUAAAUGGUUAUCACAGAGGCCACAUUUUGACUGCCAAAUCGAGUGGCCUCAUUUCUGUACUUCUAUUUAAUCCUUUAACAUUUUAUUAAUCAUUUAGUCCUUAAAUCUCUGUAUGACCUAUCUGUUCUUUUGUGUUGUUUUUCCAUUUCUUUGGAUAGCUUCUUUUGCCCAUCCACCACUAUUUAAGACAGUCUCCAUGGUUCUUUCCUUUAGGUCUCUACACUGUCCCUGAACUGUCUUCAUGAUCCCAUGACAUCAGUCAGCCUUGGUUUCUCUCUUAAGCUCUGAUGAUCCAUGUUAUCAAAUCUGAAUUCUUCUCUUCUUCUGCAUCCCUAACAGUAGCUGUUCUUUCCUUCCUAAUUUGGUUAUUACCAUCACUGUCUACACAGUUAUCUCAUGGUAAUCUCAUUUACCUAUCUUUUCCUCUGUACAAUGUAUCAUGAGGUUUUCUUUGGCUGACUCCAGGAACAUUUAUGAUUUGUUUACUCUUGUUGUAGUAUAGAUACAGUAUAAAUGUUCACAGUCAUAGCAGAUGUGCAUUUUACCUGGAAUCUUAGAAUAGCCUAAAAUAUUCUAGGCUGUUGUACAUACACCCAUUCCAAUUCACUCUUUGCUACUACUAGAUUAACCUAAGACCAAUAUGAUUGUGACUGUUUUACUUGGAAAUACUCUGUGGCUCUUUCUGUAAAGAAUAAAGGCCAAAUGCUCAGCGUAGCACUGAAAAGCCUUCAUGAUACUGCCCUUCAUUUCUAGUUUCACCUAGCACAAUCUCUGACAUCUUCAGCUUUACCAGAUGGCAGUACUUUUCAUUUUCUUGUACUUUUCAAAAUUCUUUGCUGGGGAAAUCUCUGCUUGGAAUAUUAUGUACUGAAACCUUAAGAAGAGAUUCUCUUCUCCAAACUCCAAUUACACUCACCUUUUGUGUGUAUCUUUUCCUGAUUUCAUUGGCUGAUUUGUCCCCUUACCCCACAACUGGUGUAGAACAAUUCUUCCUUCUGCUUCCUGUGUCCCUUUGUUCACAUCAACAUACAUACAUAUGAGUUAAGUACAUGUUGGACUCCACCUAAACCAUGAGCUAGAAGUUACAUUUUCUUCAUCCCUUUCUAUUCCCACCACCUAAUAUAUAAUACGCUUGGUGUUCAAUAAGUAUUUGAAGAAAUAGAAGUUGAGUAUUAAAUUUAUUGGGGGUGGGAAAAGUAAAUUAUGUAGAUUUUUAUCAUCUAAAAAGUCUGUCUCUGACUUGAAUUCAUAAUGUAAUUAUGGAAUUGGAACAGGAAAAAAGUGGAGAAUAAUAGGUCAGUAGGCACUAUAAAGAGACCAGGUUUCUAUUUUGUAUUUAACUGCAGCCUUAUAAAGUUUAAGAAGCUACCGUUUACAGAUCUAGGCCCACUGGACAAUGUGGAGAUACUAUGUUUACUAUGUAAAGAUAAUUAAACCUGUAAAGCUUACCCAACUUUUUCUCCUUCAACUAGAAAUACACUGAAAAUUAUUAAAAAUUUAGGGUAAAUUUUAACUAUAUCUAAAAUGAUUAAAAUGGCAAAUAUGUAAGGAGCCCCUUAGCACCUCACAGUCUGAAGCAGAAUUUAUCCUUAAGUCUUACUUGGCACGAUAAAAUUUGGUUAUAACACAUUCUGAUUAAGCUUGUGUGGUUUUCCCUAUUGAAACUAUACAUAAACAUUCAAAAAUUGAAAAAUAUGAUAACAUGUACUAGUUUUUUUAGUCUAAAUCUAUUCUGUUGCCAGGGUAAGGAUGGCAUAUUUUCACAGACAUCCUUCUGUAAAGCCACUUCACUGGGAUAAUGCUGAGGGCAUUUGUAGCAGUACAGCUUUGGGUCAUUAAAGAAUAAUACACUUGUAUAACACAGAGAAAUUACUUCACUUGUAUUUCUCAUCUGUAAAAUAGGGGGUAAUAAUCUAUUCUGUUAAUUGGUGUUGGAAAUUAAAAUGACAGAACAUGCCAAAUUGUUAGCACAUUGCUUGGCAUUUCUUAGUGCAAAUGUUGGCUUCUGAUCUGGAAUUCAAAGAAAAAAGUACAGAAUUGCUUUGUGCUAGGUUACCCUAAUCAUUUCACAUCUUCCUCGUUAAUCUCUUCUAUGUAUUCCUAUCUCUAAUUCUGGGAUGAGGAUAGGCAUCUGGGAACAGGAGUUUCAAGUGGUCAAGGCAAGGUAUGGUGGAGGAUGUCAAAAACAAACAUCUAACUAGUUAACUAUUUUGCCCAGGGAUGUCAGUUCAAAAUCAUGUCUUGUCACAAACUGCCUUUUCCUGAUAUAAGUGAAUUAUGAAUUUGUGUUUGUAGUGUAUAGAUGAUAGUGGUAGUAAAUUUGCUUUGUGGCAUAAGAUUAUCAGUAUGAUUGGCUGAGUUGAAUAUAGGGCAAGCAAAAGGAGAGGAAGACAUUAAAGUGUAAGGUAGAUCCCUCUUAUAGAAGCUUUUAACCCAGUCUAUCUAGUAUUUGAUAACUUAAUCUUUCACUGAUGCUUUCUAUUUUUGUUUUCAAUAGAAAACCUAUUUAUAGAAACAGAUAGCAUUUUGAGUUAGACUUCUCCAUUUCUCAAUGUCUUAGGCAAAUUUCAUUUAUAUGGGCUUUAGUUUCUCCAUCAUUAUAAUGAAGCUUUUGGGUUUUUUUUUUCCUGGUUCUAACAUUCUCUAAUUCCUAUGUACCUUCACUAUGUCAUGAAUUAUAUAGGUAUACCAUAAUUCUUUGAUGCGUGAUGUUUACUGUGCAAACAUGACCAGUCAAGAUUAAAGGAAUUUUCUUCGGUAGUUUAUGGCUUGUUUUUUUUACUAUAAUGCUAAAAGGACUCCGAUAAUUUUCCUCUCAAUAAAGAGAAGUAACUUUACCUUGAUUUAUGACCCAGGUGCAUAAUAUGCUUGCACCCCUAUACGAAAGAGUUUUCUGGUUUCCUCUUCUUUUUUUUUGGCUGCCUCUUUCAUUAAUCAACAUCAGUUCCUCUACUUACUUGCUGAACUGUGAAAAAGCAAAGUGGAAACCAAACAUCCAAAUUUGUAAGGUUAGUAACUUUUACAAUUAGAGGAAGCUUUAGCCCAAAGAUGGAUUUCACUUCUCAAAGCUUUGUGCAACUAUUUUCCUUGGUGCCUCUAUGUUCAUGAAAUGUUGAAUAAGUCGUGGAUCCUUUGAUAUCUAUUUUCUACUUAUUGUAUUUUCAAGUCUUAUAAAAAGUUAUUUUGUCCACAAAUUGCCUUCACCCAGAAUUUCUGAUAAAUCUUUUGCCCAAACCAGAUUCUUAUCCAUGCUAACCUGGAAAAUAAUAGCUUUACUAAGAACCUUUCAUAUUUAAGUUUCUUAAGGCAGUGUGUUAGUUCUUUUUACAAAUACUGUUUGUAAACAUCUCUGUAUUAUAAAGGAAGUAUUCUCUAACUAAAAAUAAAACAGGAAGGUGUUUUUCUUCAGUACUAAUUGUGUAGUAUUCCAUUUGCCUUUCCCAUCUGUAAGUAUAAGAUAUGUAAGCUUAUCUUAAUUUUGUCUUUCAGUACUUGUUUUAAAUGUAUUCCAAACUACUGAG